CCUACGGGUGGCAGCAGUAAGGAAUAUUGGACAAUGGUCGAAAGACUGAUCCAGCCAUGCCGCGUGCAGGAUGAAGGUGCUCUGCACUGUAAACUGCUUUUGUUCGGGAAUAAACCCCUUCACGUGUGGAGGGCUGAAUGUACCGAAAGAAUAAGGGACGGCUAACUUCGUGCCAGCAGCCGCGGUAAUACGAAGGUCCCAAGCGUUAUCCGGAUUUAUUGGGUUUAAAGGGUGCGUAGGCGGAUUGUUAAGUCAGUGGUGAAAGCCGACAGCUCAACUGUCGAAUUGCCAUUGAUACUGACGAUCUUGAGUGUGGUUGAGGUGGGCGGAAUGUAUCAUGUAGCGGUGAAAUGCUUAGAUAUGAUACAGAACACCGAUUGCGAAGGCAGCUCACUAAGCCACUACUGACGCUGAGGCACGAAAGCGUGGGGAGCAAACAGGAUUAGAUACCCUGGUAGUC
rnacentral:rRNA from 1 species